GACGAACGCUGGCGGCGUGCUUAACACAUGCAAGUCGAACGGAAAGGCCCCUUUGGGGGUACUCGAGUGGCGAACGGGUGAGUAACACGUGAGUAACCUGCCCUUGACUUCGGGAUAACUUCAGGAAACUGGGGCUAAUACCGGAUAGGAAUCCUUGCUGCAUGGUGGGGGUUGGAAAGCUUCGGCGGUUUUGGAUGGACUCGCGGCUUAUCAGCUUGUUGGUGGGGUAGUGGCUUACCAAGGCUUUGACGGGUAGCCGGCCUGAGAGGGCGACCGGCCACAGUGGGACUGAGAUACGGCCCAGACUCCUACGGGAGGCAGCAGUGGGGAAUAUCGCACAAUGGGCGGAAGCCUGAUGCAGAAACGCCGCGGGCGGGAUGACGGCCUUCGGGUUGUAAACCGCUUUCAGCAGGGGCGAAGCUUGUGGUGACGGUACCUGCAGAAGAAGCACCGGCUAACUACGUG
rnacentral:rRNA from 1 species